GUCUGUGUGAAUAAAAUACUAAGUCUGGCCUGCCCACUGAGGUUUUAAAGGGCUGCGGUAAUUUGACCGUGCGAAGGUAGCAUAAUCAAUAGUCUUUUAAUUGAAGGCUUGAAUGAAUGGUCUGACAAGAAAACAACUGUCUCGGUUUUUAGUAUUGAAUUUAACAUCUGUGUAAAAAGGCACAGAUACUAUGAAGGGACGAUAAGACCCUAUAAAACUUUAUACAUAAAUGUCAUGAUUAAAAAUUAAUUAAUAAAUUAAGCAAGAUUUUUUAGUAUUUUGCUGGGGCGGCACGGAUAAAAUUAAAAUAACUGUCUUAAGAAUUAAAUAAAAAUAUUUAGAGAAUGAUCCUUUAAUAGGGAUUAUAAGAUUAAGUUACUUUAGGGAUAACAGCGUGAUUUCUCUUGAGAGUCCUUAUCGACAGAGUUAGUUGCGACCUCGAUGUUGAAUUAAAAUUUCCCCCAAGAGCAGAAGCUUGGUAGGUAGGUCUGUUCGACCUUUAACAAUUUUACAUGAUUUGAGUUCAAACCGGUGUGAG
rnacentral:rRNA from 1 species